UCUUAUGGACGAGCAAAGAAAGUGGUAUCUUGAGAUGAAGUCUAUCUUUGGUGAAGAUGCUAUGAA
rnacentral:pre_miRNA from 1 species